GGCCCAGUUGGCUAGCUCAGUUUGGUUAGAGCGUCGUGCUAAUAACGCGAAGGUCGUGGGUUCGAUCCCCCCCCAUGGGCCA